CCGCGGGACUGGUCUCCCGGCUCCAGCCGCCGUGGCAGUGCCGGCUCCCUCCAGGUGUGCCUGGAGCACGUAAGCGCCGGAAGGGAUGCUGCAGACAGUAGGGCUUGCCGCUCCGCGAGGCGCAGAUGUGCCUGGCUCUUACCCCGUUUCCUCCGUGACUCUAGGUUGAGCCCGGGCUCUGGUGGUUUCCUUCUAUUACAGUAGCAAAAUGGUACAACAGCUUGUAGUCCGUGAUUUCUGUCGGAGAGUGUAUGUCACCUGUUGCUGCAUAACAAGCACCUCAUAGCAUCACAGCUUAAAACAAACAUUGAUUGUGGGGCCAGCCCCGUGGCCAAGUGGUUAAGUUCGCGCACUCCGCUUUGGUGGCCCAGGGUUCGGAUCCUGGGCACGGACGUGGCACCACUCACUAGGCCCUGUUGAGGCGGCGUCCCACAUGCCACAACUAGAAGGACCCACAACUAAAAUAUACAACUAUGUACUGGGGGGAUUUGGGGAGAAAAAAGCAGAGAGUAAAAAAAAGAUCGGCAACAGUUGUUAACUCAGGUGCCAAUCUUUAAAAGAAAAAACAUUGAUUGUUCCACAGGUUCUACAGGUCAGGAAUUUGGGCAUGACUUGACUGAGUGGUUCUGUCUUGGUCUCUCACGAGACAAUAGUCAAGACCUAGGCCAAGGCUGCCGUUAUCUGAAGUCUUGACUCAGGCUGGAGCAUCUGCUUCCUAGAUGGCACGCUCACGUGACUGUUGGCUGAAGGCCUCAGUUUUUCACUGCAUGACCUCCCCGUAGGAUCCCUCGAGUGUCCCCAUAAUAUGGCAUCUGGCUUCCCUCAGAGCGAGUAAUCUCAGAGAGACCAAGGCAGAAGCCACAAUGUCUUCUAUAAUCUAGCCUCAGAAGUCACAUACCAUCACUUCUGUCAUAUUCUAUUGAUCAAAAAUCAACCCAAGUGCACCAAUACCAAUAGACAGAGAUCAUUGGAGGCCAUCUGGGAGGCUGGCUACCAUGGAGGGUCUGACAAUAAUGAUGGUGAUGACUUAGAUGCGGAAGAGAGCAUCAUCAAGUUUCAUCCUUGGAUGCUAGCCAUUGUCCAAAUCGUUAUAAAAAGAGUGUAACCACUGGGAUGGCAGAAGUAGUCCAACCACAGGAGUGCAGGAGGGUCCUGGAAGAGAACCAGAGCAUUCUCAAGGACUGCCAAGAAUUAAAGAUGUCACCUUAAUGUCAGCAAGAAACAGGCACUGCAACUUUUCAACAGUUUGGCAAUUUAAAUUGCUUUUCUCUUAAUGGGCCAUUUCAUAGCAUACAACAAAGGGAUGGUGUCACUCUACUGUGGGACUCCAUUCAUUGGCUCUCUUGGGGCUUUUCUUAAUAAGCUUUUCGUUUUAGAACAGUUUUAGAUUUACGGAAUUAUUAUGAAGAGAGAUCCAUAUACUGCAUUUCUGUUUUCCCUAUUAGUAACAGAUUAGUAAGGUAUAUUUCUCACACUUAAUGAACCAAUAUUGAUACAUUUUUAUUAAGUAAAGCCCGUACUUUAUUCAGAUUGCCUCAGUUUUUUCCUAAUGUUCUUUUUCUUUUCCAG
rnacentral:lncRNA from 1 species